rnacentral:lncRNA from 1 species
AGCAAACUUCUAGUACUAAAUGAGAGGAACAUCAUGAUAUUUUAUUUUAUGCAAAAUGGUGACUCUAUCAUGGAUAAAUAUGGACAGCAAGGGGGGCUCAUGCAAGGAUUUUCAACAAAAAAAUAAAUGUCAAAAACUUAAAGUUUAAAACAAAGCCUCAUGGUGAGGGUUUUAUGGACAAGUGGUGCAUAGCAUUAACAUAAAAAAAAGCAUGAAGAAAAAAGAGAGCAUGGCA